CCCCAAACUGCUGAUGCUGGCAACUGCAUUUGGCUCGAUUGUGGCAUUUCGAAAUCACAUGCAUCCUUUGUACUGCUGCGCACUCACAGAUAAUGAAAGGUUAGCCAUUGCUAAGGGGAAGCCUUUUUUUCAAUUAAGAAUCUUCGGCUUUAUCAAGGACUGAUGUAAUUUUUUGCGUCAAAAGCUAAGCUUCCCAUUUUGUUGAUUUCCAGUCCUGUUCCAGUGUCCUUUUUAAUCUAGGCUUCUAAGUGAGCUGUAGCGCAAUUGUUUGUGCUGUACCAGGGCAGCUUUCAUCAUCUGAAAAACCCUUCUGCUCAGUCGUCUAGGGCUGGUAAACAGGACCUUUACCUGCUUUGAAGAACACAGCUUUCCAAUAACAUUGAAGCCUUUUGUCUCCUGUUUUCCUACAUAUUAGAUUGGAGCAAUAAGAACCAAGUUGUGCCCUGUCUCCCUGUAGUGCAUUUUAGGAUUUAUUAAGAGACUUUCCUUGCAUAGUCACUCAGCUUUUUUAUAAACAUAUACUCUGUAAGCAAAGUAAGUGCUUUUGAACAACAACAACAAAGUAGGCCCGACCUUUAAAGUAACAACAACGACAAAAAGCAACUCAUCUUCGUUAAAAAUGGCUUGCCUGGAGAUCCAUUUAACUCAAGGGAACUUGAGACAUAUAUUCCUUUAUGAGGUAAAAUGGGGUAAUGUUUAAAUUAUGUAAGUCCUAAGAAAAUACAGAAAGAGUAAAAGAAAAGUCUUGGGACGGGAAAGUGAAGUUGAUCAGACCAGGAAACUGAACAGAAGACAGAUUCAGUAUUACAGACUUAAAACCUUUCAUAUGACCAGUGACUUUGGAACAACUUACAGGCUGCAGUCCAGCUAAUCCAAUGGCUUGCUAUGAAUGGAAAAUUCAAGAACCCAGAAGUUGCUCAGUUCACAAGGCUGGAUGUCUCAGCUGGUCUUCAUCAUACAGUGGAAUCUUCAAGUCUCUGCUGUGAGUGAAAGAAUGGACUUGCUCUCAAGGGUCUCACUAUGUACCUCUGCUUAGCCUCAAGCUCACCAAGAUCUGCCUACCCCUGCCUCUGAUCUGCUGCAAUUAAAGAUACAGUCUCACAUAAUCCUGGCCGGUCUUUCAUUGUGUUGCUGAGAAUGACCUUGAAUUACUGUUCCUCCUGCCGGGCCCAAAGACUAGAAACCAAUUAACAGUAUUUGAAGGGUUUCGAAACAACUUCUCAAAACUUUGACGCUAGAGGAGCUAUGGGAACAGUGCUACAUUUCCAUCUCUGAUUUGGGCCUCUGACAAGGAACCUUGGAAACACCCUCUUUACAACAACCUACCAUUUCCGACCAGCGAACACCCCAGUUCAGAUUCCAGAGAACUUUACAGCAGACAUCUGACUCCCGGCGUGAUCAUCACACUCCUGGUCAGAGCUGCAGCACACGAGCUGGCUGGCACUGCUGCUGGGAACUGUGACUCACUCCUUUAGGUUCUCCCCUGGUGCGGAAGGAGUCUCCGAAGGGGAAAAAGAGCAGUCUGUCAGGUGAGCUCAGCAUUGUCAGCAUCACCAGCUUCCUGAGAGACCAGGCAGUGUAAGGGAAAAGAGCACCUGUCAGACUCCUGGAAAAUCACUGUCUCAUGUGACCAUGAGAAGAUAAUUGAUGCAAUACAUCCCAUGGAAAUCUUUAAGUUGAUUAAAAUUCUUCUGAGAAUUUUUUUUCCCCAUUUGAAGAUUCAUGCAUGGAUCUUUUCUGAAGAAUGAGAUCAGUCUUUUUAUCUAAAGAAGACCACAGAAUCCUUCAUUUUCUUUGUUUUUUUCUUUUACUCCUUCAUCUUCCAUCUUAAAAAAUAAAAUUGAACUUUGUAACAAGCUUAUUUGGAACUGGAAGCUUUUAGAAAAAUGUUAAUGUAAUAAAACACAGUGACUGAUGUUA